CAUUAAUUGAAAUAUCUUCAAUAAUAGGUAUUCGUUCUUGUAAACCUCCUGUCUCACAAACUAUAAGUAUUUUACUAUUUUGUAAGCAAAGCAUCAAAUACCUAGAUAGGUAACGUCCAUUUAAGCAACCCCUAAUUUUUAGCAGUUUGGAAAUAUCUGCUAUUCCCAGUAUUAAUUUUGCGUGCUUUAAACGUACUUCAACUAUUUUUUCUAAAUCAUCCACAUGAGAACAAGGAAUCAAUUGAAUUCGUUCUAAAACUGAUUGAAAAUGAAUGGAAUAAGCUUCCUUAGCUAAAAAUCCAUCAAAUGGAUUUUCCAUUCUUAGAAUGUUUUCCAUUGGAUUAGUCGAACCUGUUGGAUAUACUAACACGCCUUCGUCCACAUCAUUGCACUCAAGGGCAUUUACUAAAGUAAGCAACAUAGCAGAGAUACUUCCAGAAUGAACAAAAAUGGGGUAUUCAAUGCUCGUUGACCUGACCUUUCCCCCAUUUCCAAAAUGCUCUUUAAUUAGUUGUUGCAUUAAGUAGUAUAAAGAUAAUUUACGUGUUGUGCUCAAUAAAUACUCGAAAAUCUUAAAAACCAAUUUGAUCAAAAAAUUUCAGCCUAUUUACUUCUUUAAAAAAACGAAUGUUAUUUCUCGUAAAUUUUAGAAUAAGCAGCAUUUUGCUUAUCUUUUAUUAUACAAAGUUAAUUAACUGGAGACUAUGUAGCUUGGCAGUUUCCUACCAAGCUAUUUUAUUUAUUACAUGAUUUAAAAGGUCCAGCUUGAAUUGCCAUAAGGAGUACUUUCUAGUCCUUUGCAAAGUAUCCAAAAUUGUUUUACUUUGUCUUUUAUUCGUGCCCUAGAAUUUGUUGUUAACAAGAUAAUCAUUACAUAGACGUGAUGAAAACGACAAAUAAUGCUUACUUAAGAAGAUCUGUUAAAAAUCGACGUUUGAUCUCAUUUGAAACAUUCCGUGAAGGAAAUCCUUCUUCUUCAAGUGACUGAGUAAGGCAUGCUCUUGUCGCAGAGAAAUUUUGUGCCUUUAAUUUUCCUAAUAUAUCUGAAAGCAACGGUAAAGAGCUCCGUGAUGCAUUUCCACCGAACCCCUAUAAAUCAGUAUUAGUUUGCAAAAAAAGCAUAAAUAUUGUUUACCAAUAGUAUUUUAGCAAUAAGAGGACUUCGAAUUGCAUUCACGAAAUCUGUAUGAGUGUUUAGGAGGUCGCUUUUUUCGGACGUAAUGAAUGAAAUCUUAAUGUUAAUAUUUUUAACAGAUAAUGAUCACUUACAAUAAAUUGGCCGGCUGCUGAUUCUAACAAUCUCUCAGGCUUGCCAAGCAAAUUAAUCGCGCGGUUUAAAAUAAGUUGGGUAAAAUCUGGAUACAUCGUUUCUAAAAAUGAGGGGUGUUUUUGAAGAAUUAUUGAAAAGAAGUGAUAUAAUUCGACUGUAAUGUCGAUAUUGUUCAUAAAUGAUUCUAUUUUAGUUAGUAUGGCACAUUGCUGCUAAUUAUUUACCUUCAUUGAUUAUAACAACAGAAUUUUGAAUCGAUGAGCACAUAUCAAUUAGCACUUUGUCAAUAAUAUCAGUCUGGCCGUAAGGACAUGUCAAAAUUGCUGAUCCCAACGUUAGCAAAACUGCUGCCGGAAAUUCUGUAAAUCUGUCACAGAAGUAUUGAAUGGUAGUUACUAUAGGCAAUGAAAAUGGAGAAGGCUCUACUUCAUUAAGACCAGCAAUCAUAAUCUUGCAAAUUAACUAUAUCAUAUUAGUAUUUUCGGUUUAACAGAUCACCUACCCCAACGACGUCGGAAUACUGUAACGCCAUAGACUCGGAAUGGGUCAAAAAGGAAAUGAGUUUUGCUUGAAAUUCUGCAAUGCACGAUUGCUGCCAAAAAGUUGUUUCCUGGGUAGAUUGCUCAACAUCAAUUAUUGGACUUUCGCCAAUUGGACUCUGACUUAAGGCCACUCCGGCUACGCUUUGGAGGCAGGAUUUCAAAACGUUUUCGAAUAUUUCAAGAUUAGGAUAUAAACUUGGUUGAAGUUGUGCGAGAAUGCAGUUUAAAAGUCUCAUCAGAUAACUGAUUCUUAAUUCAAUAUCUUCUAUACGUUGUGUAACAUAUCCAACGGAGCUAUAAAUCUUUUCUAGCACAGAAGGUACAUAUACCAGCUUGGGUGUUAGUUCUUCAACCACCGCCAUGAAUCCGUCGAUUUCAGUUAAUAGAUGGGAUGCACAAGUUGUACAUAGAGUGUGUAUUGAACGAGAGACAGUCAUUUGUAUUGAAGUUUCAGAAAUGUGUAAGGCAUCGAAUAAAACUGGCAAAGAUAUAUUAAGAUAUUGAGGGUGAUUUUGAAGAAAGCAAGAGCAACUGCUUAAUAAUUGAGAACAGGUUUUUAAUAGUUGCGGGUUUUGGAAAGCCGAAGCCUUUAUAGCAAAACUCGUUUCAAAUAACCGAGUAAGCCAGGCAUCUAACGUAUCACUGUCAUUGGUGUCGUACUCUAAAAUACAACAUAAGCAAUAAAAUGAAACCUCUAAUGAUUGAGGGCUUCCUGUACCAUCCGAGAAGAAAUUCUCAAUAGUCGUUAUAUACAUAGCAUAAAGCCUUUCUCCAAAAAUGGAAUAAGAACUUUCUA